GGCAGCCACAGCCACCGUUCUCUGGCGCUAACUGGCCCUGGGGAGAGCCACGUGGGAGCGGGUGUCCCGGGAGAGGCGUGCCCACACCCACGCCGGAGCUCUGGGUGGGGAGCCGCCCCACCGCGCUGCAGACACUGGGCAUGCGUCCGAAUGCCUGUGAGCCAUGACGCGCUGCGGGCCUGACCCCUGGGGCGUAGGGGAAGGGAGGGGACGUGAUGGCAGGACCAACGGCCACUGAGACCGGGGCUCGUGCUGUUUGUUCUGUUGUCACGACCACUCCUGCUGUGAACUUCUGCCACCGGGGAGCUGGGGGCGAGCCACUGCCUCCACGAGGCACUGACCCUCAGCCUGGCAGGAACGUCCUGCGUCUGAGCCCCAGAGCUCCGGACUCCGAGAGGUGAGGUCGGACGCCCGGAGCCUCACGGGCCUGUCUCCCCAUCUCGGCGUGGCAGGACUGAGGGCUGGGUGAGAUGACCGAGCCUUUGUGCCCACUCAGUCUCCCUUGGGCGGCCUGCUGCACGAUGCCACUGCAGGACGCCAGGGGAUCUCCAAACACAGACGCAACGGGAGCAGGUGAAGGCCUUACAACAAGAAUCAGGGGUUUCCCUGAGAUGAAGGAAUUCUGCCUCAAGACUGCGGCAUCAGCUUCCGCUGCAGUUCCAGCCUGCUCUACAGAUUUUGGGGGCUGCAGGGACACAGAUGCGGUCCCUGUGACAUCCCCGGGGCUGGCUUUGCCUUUGGGGCUACAGGGACCAGUCCACCUCUUUUCCUGCCCACUGCCUGUCUGGGUCACCCUGGCUGUACUGAGUUAGACUGAAGGGGCUAUUGGACAUGGAGGUGGCUUCUGUCCUUCACACUAUAAAUAAUAUUGCCUGGGACAUCAACUGCUUGUUUUUUUUCCUACUAUUAGCACUUUCUAGCAUUAAAGCUGAGCAAUGCUGAUACCAUGUGUCUUCACAGAAUUUUUGGCAUUUCCUUGUCUACCAAGCAAAAGCCUG
rnacentral:lncRNA from 1 species